AAGAUGUUGUAGGCAUGUCUUCUUUAUGUACAUGAAGUAGGUAGAUGUUGCAGGUUCAACUUUCCUAUGUAUAUGAAGAAGAAAGAUGUGGAAGAUGUUGCAGGUUCAACUUUCUUAUGUAUAUGAAGAAGGAAGAUGUGGUAGGCUUGACUUCUCUAUGCACAUGAAGCAGGUAGAUGUUGCAGGCUCAACUGUUCUCUGUACAUGAAGCAAGAAGAUGUUGCAGGUUCAACUGUCCUAUGUAUAUGAAGAAGAAAGAUGUGUUAGGCUUGACUUAUUUAGGUACAUGAAGCAGUUAGAUGUUACAGGCUCAACUUUCCUAUGUGUAUGAAACAGGAAGAUGUUGCAGGCUGGACUUUUCUAUGUACAUGAAGCAGGUAGACGUUGCAGGCUCAACAUUCCUAUACGUAUGAAACAAAAAGAUGUUGCAGUUUCAACUUUUCAAAGACAUUGUAGAUGUUGUAAUCAGAUAAACAAAAGGUAGAUCAUAACGAACAAGAAGAAGGUAAAUAAAAAAAAGAUAAGAUAAAAAAUAUAUUUGCUUACUAACUUUAUUAACAAUUGUCGGUAUAAACCUGAAUCUACUAACAAUUAGAUAACAACAUGUGCGUCAACGCAUUCCUAUGGACGUAACGAAUUCGCAUCAACCGGAAGUAAUGGAAUUUCAAUUCUCUUCGUCAUCUUCGUCGUCUUCUUCACCCUCUCCACGUCACCAAAUAUAUUAUUAUCAUUAUUAUUAUUAUUAAUAUUAUUAUUAAUAUAUCAAAGAUAGAAUGAUUAUUCAGCUUGAGGCGAAUUUGUAUCGAUCGUCCAUCAGGGGGUUAAUACACCGAAUUGGUAUGUUUCUUGAAUUUUUUUUAUUUUUACAUCAAUUUUUUUACUUCUGCGUUUUAGUACUGUACGUCCGUGUACACGAAAUAUAUAUGUAUACAUAUAUAUAUAUCGUAGUUAUAUCGAUCGUUAACUUUGCAAUUU